CGGCCACAUCACAUUCAAACAGCAGUUCCCGUACGAUCACCGAAGGAAAGCAACGUCAACCCUGGUCAGUACCUGGAUGGGUGACUGUUUGGGAAUACCAGGUGCUAUA